CUUUACAAAGUGUCUGAGACAUACAAAGAAGGAAAAUAAUUUCCCACCUCACUCUAUCACCACCCCAGAAGAAAAAAAGGUUUCCCUGGACUAGAAGGGAGCAGUGACUGAGGGGAGGGGUGUCCUGAAAAAGGGUCCCUGGGUGACAAGUCUCCAGAAAGAGAGUGGCUGCAUCUGCAUCCAUGCAGGAUCCUUCAGCACUUCAGAGA
rfam:Equus caballus chromosome 21, whole genome shotgun sequence.